GUUUCCAUUCCUCAUAGGUAAACUACAAAC
rfam:Novibacillus thermophilus strain SG-1, complete genome.